UACAGAGGGUGCGAGCGUUGUCCGGAAUCACUGGGCGUAAAGCGCACGUAGGCGGUCUGCUAAGUUGGAUGUGAAAACUCUGGGCUUAACCCAGAGCCUGCAUUCAAUACUGACAGGCUAGAGUUCUGGAGGGGAUAGCGGAAUUCCUGGUGUAGCGGUGGAAUGCGUAGAGAUCCGGAAGAACACCGGUGGCGAAGGCGGCCCGCUGGGCUGUGGCUGACGCUGAGGCGCGACAGCGUGGGGGAGCAAACGAGG
rnacentral:rRNA from 1 species